AUUAAAUUCUGAAUUCAUCAUUGUCAAUUUUUAUUGCAGCAUGAGGUGAAACGGAGACGUAAACCUGAGGAUACAAAGGAGAACAAACGACGGAAACAAACCUUCAAAUACCAUGUACAGCAAGCAGGCCAGAGAUUGAAUGUGUGCAAGAUGCUGACAGAUGCUGUGGGCAGAAUAACAACUGGCGGAUGCUCAAUCUGAUGUCGAUGCUCGUCUCUAUGGGUUACUUUACCCAAGUUGAGCAGAAGUUCAUGGUCUCUGGUCAUUCUUUUCUUCCUUGUGAUCGAUCUUUUGCCACCAUCGAGAAGAGGCGCAAGGUGUCAGUCCUUCAUACACCUGAUGAUGUUUCAAAGAUGAUACUUGAAGCACAACCAGCAAAACCAUUCAAGGUGAUGAGGAUGCAAUGUGAAGACUUCAGGCACCUCCCAGAUUCUGUCCUCAAGCGACCAGCUGGACUACAGAUCACCUCAGUGAGGUGGUUAAAAGUCACAGUUGAGGAUCCUUGGAAUCUGUACACCAGACAGAGCCACAGUCUAUUUGAGGGAUGGAAGUCGUGGCUGAUCUCCAAACCAAAACAAGGAGCUACACCUCAACCUCCCUAUUUUGCAAGCCACUACCCUAGAGCAUAUGAGAGUCCUCUGCCCAUCAAAAAAAACAAGUACCAAGAUCUGAUGACCAUGCUCAACUACUUGCCAGCUGCUGCACGCUCUUUUUAUGAAUCACUGCAGAGUGAAUAAUUUGUUGUUAAACCAAGCUACAUAAUUAAACGUUUUUUUCUGUGAGUUUAUGAUCCCCUGAACCUGUAUACUGUAGUAUGUUGAAUCUGUAUACAUUUCAGAAGACAUGUCACCCCUAUUGUAGGAAAUUAAAUGUAUCGUAGGUGUUUUCUAUGUGAAUCAAUUUGUGUAUGAUUUGAAUCAGCACAAUAUAUUGAAUUAAUUUAAUGUUAAGAUGUUGUUCCUAGUGUAGAAAAUGUUAUGUACAAUGUGUUCUGUUGAUAAUAAUUUUGUGUGAUCAUUUGAACCUUUUUUAAUCUGAAUGAAUUAAAAAC